rnacentral:rRNA from 1 species
UUAAAUUGAAGAGUUUGAUCAUGGCUCAGAUUGAACGCUGGCGGCAGGCCUAACACAUGCAAGUCGAACGGUAACAGGAAGAAGCUUGCUUCUUUGCUGACGAGUGGCGGACGGGUGAGUAAUGUCUGGGAAACUGCCUGAUGGAGGGGGAUAACUACUGGAAACGGUAGCUAAUACCGCAUAACGUCGCAAGACCAAAGAGGGGGACCUUCGGGCCUCUUGCCAUCGGAUGUGCCCA